UUUUAAUUAUUUAGAAAAUUUUUUCACUUAUUCCCCAUUACUUUUAUCAAUCAUUAUCAUCAUCAUCAUUGGUUUCAAUGCAUUCAUACAUUACCAUACAAACAUCACAUCCAGCACAAACAUGAUUGAUGUGUUAUAAAUUACAUUUACGAUUUUAUCUAUUAUCUUCCAAUUGAAUCAAGAUGAAUUUUUGUUUUAAUUUUUUUUAUCUUGACCAAACUUUUCAUUCAUAAAAAAAACAGAAAAUGA